GUGCGCAGACCUCUCCUGCUGCGCUUGCUGCUCCCCUCAGCAGUGUAUUUCAUCGGUCUGCCUGUUCUGUUCCCCACUCUGGCUCUGUCUCAUUAGGGGCAUGAGCCAAGUGCCAGCACUCAGCUGAUCAGGUCCUAAGAAGAAACUAAGCCUGAGAAAAAUGCUGCCUCACUGAAAAAAAAGCACUUGGAAGCUGCUGUGUCUGGGCAAAUGGUCCAUAGGUAACAUCACACAGAUCCAUGAACUGGACCCUUACCCGGAUUGUCUUUGUAGAAAUUCUUAAAAUGUUUUAUGUAACCUCUUUGCAAAUUGUAUAUAAUCCUCAUUGAGAAGCUCAAGAUCUUUCCCACAGAUCUCUGGCGGCUGUUCCAGACUCAAGCCUCAGUCUUUGAUUCUUUAAUAA